CAGAACUCUAUGGUUGGGCGGUAAAGUCUAAUGAUGAGUUCUACUGGAUGCUCGUACCAGAAACCAAGAGUGUUUGGAAUACAGUCACAGAAUGCUAGAUCUGGACUAGAGAUCAUUGGAACAUGGGAUUUAAAAGUAGGAAGAAACUAAAUAGUCACAGAAUAUUAGAUCUGGAAUAGAUUUUAGAAGAACUUAGUAAACAGCUAGGUAGCUCAGUGGUUAAAAGAGUCCCAGGACUGGAGUAGAGAGGACAAGGGUUCAAAUUUGACCCCAAACACUUCGCAGCUCCGUGACCCUGGAGCCUGGUCCUAGAGUCCAAGAGACCUAGGAAUUACAGUGCCCCUCAGAUCAUCAGUCCUAUUUCCAACCCACACCCUAAAACCAAUAUCAAGGCAAGAAAAGCAACCCUUGUAGAAAAGAAAUCUACCUUUCCUGUCACCAUCAACAGCAAAUACUGACCAGCUGCAACCAUUGUGCAGGAAUAAUGAACUGGAGGAAUUCCAUGUGAACUGGAACGACCUCCAGGAACUGAUGCAGAGUGAAAGGAGCAGAACCAGGAGAACAUUGUACACAGAGACUGAUACACUGGGGUACAAUCGAAUGUAAUGGACUUCUCUACUAGCAGCAAUGCAAUGAUCCACAUCCAGAGAAAGAACUGUGGGAGUAGAAACACAGAAGAAAAACAACUGUUUGAUCACGGACUCAAAAGAAGAAUGAUGCAAGGGACUUGGAGUUACUGUGUCCGGCCCAUUUGUCCUGGGAUCACCCCGAAGGCUCUGGCCCGCAGGGUCUCAGGGACUCCUGACACCGCGCUGAACACGGUGAACGGAGGACGGCCGAGUCAGGACGGUUAAUUUACAGAAGUACUUUCCCAUCAUCCAUUGCACCUGGAGAGUGGGCCGUUGGGCCUUCUCAAACACAUGAUCUUCAUAGGCCAGACGGGCACAUUCUUAAAGAGUCAGGCCACAGCCCGGGAUCCCUUAAUGUAAAAAUAGCACGGAAGAGGAUUUUACGUUUCUUUGAUAAUUCAUAAUCAGAAAACAGGAUCCGAGAGUGAAAGCUUUAAGUGCAUCCUCCGAAUGAUCAUCAGCUUGUCCUGGUUCACGGAAUCUCGGACAAGUAAGUACGUCUUGUAGAAGGAGGGGAUGCUGGGAAACAAGGCCUGCUUUCUGGGAAAAUACUGUAAAUCAGAUGGAAAGCUAUUUCAAACCAAGUUCAGAAACACUUCAUUUUUUUAAACUCUUAUCUUCCAUCUGGGAAUCAAUACUGUGUAUUGUUUCCCAGGCAGAAAAGUGGGAAGGCCUAAGGACUUGCCCAGGGUCACCCAUCGAGGCCCGUCUUCAGGCCAGCUCUUAGAGGGAAAAGGGAAGAAGAAAGAAAAGAGCCCCUAGAAACUGGUAGCGCUUGCACCAUAGUCCUCCAUCAUAGACUCACGC